rnacentral:rRNA from 2 species
UUUCCGUAGGUGAACCUGCGGAAGGAUCAUUAUUGAAUUCAACUCGCGAAGUUGUUGCUGGCUCCUCUGGGGCAUGUGCACACUUCGCAAGUCAUUUCAACCACCUGUGAACCUUUUGUAGUCUUGGGAGACGCUAUUAUCAAAGGAAACUUUGGAUUUGAAUGCUGCGGGCUUGCAAAAGUCGGCUUCGUUCUACAGCAGAACCCGGGUCUAUGCUUUAUAUACCCCAAUUGUAUGUCAAUGAAUGUGAUGCAAGGGCUUUCCAGCCUUUAAAUCAAAUACAACUUUCAGCAACGGAUCUCUUGGCUCUCGCAUCGAUGAAGAACGCAGCGAAAUGCGAUAAGUAAUGUGAAUUGCAGAAUUCAGUGAAUCAUCGAAUCUUUGAACGCACCUUGCGCCCUUUGGUAUUCCGAAGGGCAUGCCUGUUUGAGUGUCAUUAAAUUCUCAACCUUGGAAGGCUUUUGAAGUCGUCUUAAGGCUUGGAUCUGGAGGUUGCGGGCUUCAUUACGAAGUCGGCUCCUCUUAAAUGUAUUAGCUGGGUUUGCGCCUUCAGCCUAUUGGUGUGAUAAUUAUCUACGCCUCUGGGUCGUUAGCGUGUUAUACUUCUCUAGCUUCUAACCGUCCCUUGUGGACAACUCUUGACCAUUUGACCUCAAAUCAGGUAGGAUUACCCGCUGAACUUAA